rnacentral:rRNA from 1 species
CUACGGGGGGCAGCAGUGGGGAAUAUUGGACAAUGGGGGAAACCCUGAUCCAGCAAUGCCGCGUGUGUGAAGAAGGCCUGCGGGUUGUAAAGCACUUUCGGUUGGGAGGACUGCUUCUAGCACUAAUAUUGUUGGAAGUUGACGUUACCUUCAGAAGAAGCACCGGCUAACUCCGUGCCAGCAGCCGCGGUAAUACGGAGGGUGCAAACGUUAAUCGGAAUUACUGGGCGUAAAGCGCGCGUAGGCGGCUAGAUCAGUCGGGUGUGAAAGCCCCGGGCUUAACCUGGGAACUGCAUCCGAUACUGUCUAGCUAGAGCACAGGAGAGGAGAGUGGAAUUCCACAUGUAGCGGUGAAAUGCGUAGAUAUGUGGAGGAACACCAAUGGCGAAGGCAGCUCUCUGGCCUGAUACUGACGCUGAGGUGCGAAAGCGUGGGGAGCAAACAGGAUUAGAUACCCCUGUAGUC